UGUGGGAGCGGGCUUGCUCGCGAUGGAAUCGAUGCGGUUUGACCGAGCGACCGCGCCGUCUGCAUCGCGAGCAAGCCCGCUCCCACA
rnacentral:misc_RNA from 1 species